UGAAAUCUCGAAGCUCAACUUCGAAACUGCGUCUGAAACUGCUAGUCUAGAGUGUCGGAGGGGGAAGGGGAAUUUCACGUGUAGGGGUAAAAUCCGUAGAGAUGUGAAGGAACACCGGGGGCGAAGGCGCCUUCCUGGACGACUACUGACGCUGAGGCGCGAAAGCGUGGGGAGCAAACAGGAUUAGAUACCCUGGUAGUCCACGCCGUAAACGAUGAACACUAGUUAUUGGGGGUAUUGACUCCCUCAGUGACGCAGCUAACGCAUUAAG
rnacentral:rRNA from 1 species